AAGAGAGCCUGGAAUGAGAGAGGAGGCUUUUGGUCAAAUAGAAAGUUGAGGAAGAGAAGAGGAAACUGCUAAGCAGAAAGGGAUCUCCGAAGAGAAAGACUGUGUGUCAUGUUGUGAAUGCAACAUGUUCGACAGCAUUCCUGCCGAGGAAAUAUCUUCUAUGAUGGGGAUGGGCAAAGCUGCUCACUUGGAGAAAGACAAGAAGUGCUUAAUAUUCAGUUUAGCCAAUCACAGUAACCAAAUUGAAAUUUGGUUGUAAGUUCUCUAUACAUGCAGGAAGAGUGAGCAGAACAAGGAAAGAGAAAGACUCUUCUUGGGCAAGAUUAUACCUUCUGGGUAUCAGUGUUCACAGAAGGCUCUGAACCUUUGCUGGACUCUAUAGCCCUGGAUUCUAUAUACUGCU
rnacentral:lncRNA from 1 species